rnacentral:lncRNA from 1 species
GUUGCUAGCUUUUGUAUACUGACCUAGUUUGUUUGUUUGUUUGUUUGUUUUUAAGCCACUGGCUUCCUGAUUCACUGAUGCCUGAUUUUGUGAGUGUGUUAGCCCUCUGCCUGAAGUCAGUGUUUUAGGGAAGAUGGAUCCAAUCCUCUGCCCCAGAAAGGCACAUUUGACAUUGUUGGCUCUGCACUUUACAGCCCUAAAAUAGGAUUUGAUCCAGUGAAGUGACUGCAUC